rnacentral:tRNA from 1 species
GAGGGCAUAGCUCAGUGGUAGAGCGUGUGCUUAGCAUGCAUGAGUUCCUGGGUUCAAUCCCCAGUACCACCA